GCAGUGGUGGUUCUGUGGUAGAAUUCUGGCCUGCUAUGCAGGAGACACAGAUUCGAUUCCUGGCCAGUGCA
rnacentral:tRNA from 1 species